rnacentral:rRNA from 1 species
UACGUAGGUGGCAAGCGUUGUCCGGAAUUACUGGGCGUAAAGCGUGCGCAGGCGGCUUUGCAAGACAGAUGUGAAAUCCCCGGGCUUAACCUGGGAACUGCAUUUGUGACUGCAUGGCUGGAGUGCGGCAGAGGGGGAUGGAAUUCCGCGUGUAGCAGUGAAUGCGUAGAUAUCUGGAGGAACACCGGUGGCGAAGGCGGCAUCCUGGACCGACAUUGACGCUGAGGCGCGAAAGCCAGGGGAGCAAACGGG